UACAGAGGGGGCAAGCGUUGUUCGGAAUUACUGGGCGUAAAGGGCGCGUAGGUGGCCUUCUAAGUUGAACGUGAAAUCCCUGGGCUCAACCCAGGAACUGCGUCCAAGACUGGGAGGCUUGAAUCCGGGAGAGGGAUGCGGAAUUCCAGGUGUAGCGGUGAAAUGCGCAGAUAUCGGGAGGAACACCAAUGGCGAAGGCAGCUCGCUGGGACGUGACUGACGCUGAGACGCGAAAGCGUGGGGAGCAAACAGG
rnacentral:rRNA from 1 species